ACUGUCAAAUGUUAUAAAAUAUUUGGACUUUGACAGCGCUCUCUCGAAACCAGCGCUCUCAGUGUUCCCAAAUCUCAAACAUUUUUAUCCCUAAACCUCAAACAAAAACCCACUUAAUUCCCCUAAAAAAACAAUUAUUAUUAAGAUAAAUAAAAAAUUAUAUAUUUAAUUAUACUAACAUUCUUUAACUGAAAUUAUCAAUUAUUAUUGAAUUACCAUAUAUAAUUGGACUUGCUCUGCCAAAGCAAAAAGCAAAUUCUUAUAUCUUUUUUUAACACAUUUCACAUUUUUCAAUUAAAAGUUUAUUAUUCACAAUAUAGAAAGCCCCUGAAAAUGGCCCUCAACAUAUAAAACAUAUAGGGGGAAAAUCCGUAUCUUGGUAACACUGUACUAGACUCAACAUUGCAAAAUUAAAUUCUACUAAGUGACGUAGACUUCAAUAUAGAUACGUGAAUCGAUAUCUAUAGUACAACUUUAAAUUUUUAUUGUACUUUUCUGGUUUAAACUUCCAAAAUUUCUCAUACCCUGCUUCAGUAUAUUAAACAAAUUUCUUAGAAUUUAAUUCUUUUUAUUAGUUUUUUAAAUAAUAUAUAUAUUAUGUUUUGAUAAAUAAGAUAAAUAAGAAAUCCCCAAAAAAAUACCCUAAAAAAAUUCUCCCCCAAAAGUUUCCCAAUACUUAAAAAAAACCUAAGAUUUAAGGGAAAAUCCCCAUAGUUGGCUUCACUGGUAUAAAUAUUCAAAUAACCAAGCGUGUUGUAUUUUAAUAUUUAUAACUUUAAGAAUGUUUUGCUUGUAUUAUUAAUAUGUUGUUCAUGAAUUGAUUUAUGGUAUACAUAUAAUGGUUUAAGAUGAUUAUUUCGUCUCAUAUUGUUAUUGUUAUUACUAUCCAUGAAGUGUACCUGCUUUUAUAUUCAAUAUAUAUGUAUAUAUUUUCUAUUUAUAUUUGUUAUGAAAGUAGAUUGUAAUUUUAUGUUAUACGGAUGAAUAUAGGCCCUUCUGUGGAACUGGAAAUUCAAAACAGAUCAGUAACACGCCUAUAUUGCAUCCUUUGAGGUGGUGAGGAAAAACAAUUAAUAUGCAAUACAUGUUCACAUACAAGUUGUUAAACCAUGGAUAAAAUGAUUGAAAAUUCAUUACUAAACAGAUGACAAG